AACGAACGCUGCCGGCAGGCUUAACACAUGCAAGUCGAGCGCCCCGCAAGGGGAGCGGCUGACGGGUGAGUAACGCGUUUCAAUCUACCCAUCUCUACGGAAUAACGCACGGACACGUGUGCUAAUACCGUAUACGUCCUUCGGGAGAAAGAUUUAUGGGGGAUGGAUGAGCCCGCGUUGGGUGAGUUAGUUGGUGGGGUAUAGGCCUACCAAGGCGACGAUCCAUAGAUGUUCUGAGAGGAUGAUCAGCCACACUGUGACUGAGACACGGCCCGGAGUCCUACGGGAGGCAGGAAUGAGGAAUAUUGGACAAUGGGCGCAAGCCUGAUCCAGCCAUGCCGCGUGAGUGAUGUAGGCCCUAGGGUUGUAAAGCUCUUUCACCGGUGAAGAUAAUGACGGUAACCGGAGAAGCAGCCCCGGCUAACUUCGUCCCAGCCGCCGCAGUAACAC
rnacentral:rRNA from 1 species